rnacentral:rRNA from 1 species
CCUUCCGCGCUUCGCUGCGUGUUUGUUGGUGUUCCGGAACUUUUACUUUGAGANAAAUAGAGUGUUUCAAGCAGGCUUGUCGCCCUGAAUACUUCAGCAUGGAAUAAUAAGAUAGGACCUUGGUUCUAUUUUGUUGGUUUCUAGGACCUAGGUAAUGAUUAAUAGGGACAGUUGGUGGCAUUCGUAUUUAACUGUCAGAGGUGAAAUUCUUAGAUUUGUUAAAGACGAACUACUGCGAAAGCAUUUGCCAAGGAUGUUUUCAUUAAUCAAGAACGACAGUAGGGGGUUUGAAGACG